AGAGGCUGAGACAUUAGUAGGUCCGGGCAGCUGCAGGAACAUUCAGUGUCUCCAGCUGGCCUCUAUUUGCUGCCAUCUCUAAAAAGUGGCAUCCCCCAUGGCCUAGGAUCUGCCCCAAGAUUCUCUCCCCACUCCCUGCCUAUCCCCUCUCCCAAUGCUUUUGCCUGACUCAGUUGUUCUCCGGCUUUGGGGGCAUUAUAAUGACUGGCUUUGGAUCUGCCCAACUUUGGGGGCCACUGAACAUGCCUUCAAGGGGGGGGGUCUUGCUGCCCUGAGUGAUACUUCAUGUGUCACAGUUUCAAACCUCUGACCUGCAGAAAGGUGGACUCCAUUACAAAGGGGACAGUGCCUUGGGGAAUUCCUACAGCUGACCUGAGCUGCUUACUUGAAAAUGGGAAGCAGACUAACUAUCCUCACAGAAGUGUGCAGCCACUGAGAAAGACCAUCAGGCGAUCCAAUCUUUAUAGCAACAAUGUCCACAACAGCCAAACUAUGGAACGAACCUAGAUGUCCAUCAACAGUUUUCGAGUUAAAUAAACAAAUGCGCUGUGUACACCAUAACAGCCUGUAGGACCUACCCGCGGAGUCGUAGCCUCUGUACUCAAGCCUCUGCAGGCCCUUAAUGAGGGUCUCGAAAAUCUCCUUCCUCGUCCGGGGCACUCUGUAGUUCAUGUAUGCGAAGAUUCCUGUGAAAAGAGAGGAAAACCACACGUCUGUCAAUCAGCUGCAAAGAUCAGCAAAACCGCCUGGCCACUUGGGAACGUCUGGAGUCCUCGUCUAUGUGGACCUCUUGAUCUGCACAGAACAGAACUGGGAAGAGUCCUCCUACAGCAGGUGAAACAGGGGCUGAGACCUCAACACCUUUUUCCCACUUGCCCCUGUAGCCUGGAGCUUUAGCAUCAAUAAAUGUUGCUUUUACAGUAGCAAAAAUAAAACCACCUCUUGGCCUGCAGGGAAUCCCUAUCUUCAAGAAUCCCUAUCUUCAAGAUAGAUCUGCAUGCCCUGAAGACUUUAUGUGGCUGUAUUUCUGUAUUUGUAUUUCAAAAUACUAUUUUCCCAAAAAGGGAGGAACAGUCGCCCUGUUGGUGUUCUUCCCAAAUUCCUUUGCCCUGAGACUAUGGACCCCUGGUCUGUCUCUGUCCCACCCUGCAAGCUCCUUAUCCUGGCAUCCCUCUUUCCUUUUGUCCACCCUGCCCCACUGAGGGGAAUCUAACCUCCUCAAAGCUCAGCUCCCACCACCUCCCAGGACUGGCUCAUCCCUCCCAGGCCCCCACCGGGAGUGCUCCCUGCUCUGGGCCACCCCUGUGCCCGCGCAUCUUGGAAUACCUUCAUCCCCCGGUAAGAACACAGGCUGGCACAUCUAUCUUUAUACUUCUCACUAUGUCUUGGCACACCGUCCUUGUUCAAUAAACGUAUGUGGAGUAGAGUGACUGUAAAUCUACUUUAUUCAGGGAAGCAAGAGUAUAGAUCGUGAAGAAUUCUGGCCUUCAGGAAUAUUCAUAGUAACUCAUCUUACUGAGGACUUACUACGUGCCAGGCACUCUGCCAAGCAUUCCCACACGGAUGUCAAUCAAAGCUCCCAUCAGUACCUUUCUGGACCAGGAGCCCGGGAGGCUGUGACUUGACCUCAGGACUUAAAAUGCCCUAACCACUAGGAAGUGUUGCCUCAGGGAUGAAUGAGAUGAAAAGGCCUAUUUCCCUAAUUUUCAUAAUUUAACUUUAAUUUUAAAUUUCCUCAGGAAGACACAAAGUUCUAACCAAGAUUAAA